rnacentral:rRNA from 1 species
GACGAAGGGGGCUAGCGUUGUUCGGAAUUACUGGGCGUAAAGCGCGUGUAGGCGGUUGCCCAAGUCGGGUGUGAAAGCCUUGAGCUCAACUCGAGAAAUGCACUCGAUACUUGGUGACUAGAGGACCGGAGAGGAUAGUGGAAUUCCCAGUGUAGUGGUGAAAUACGUAGAGAUUGGGAAGAACACCAGUGGCGAAGGCGGCUAUCUGGACGGUUUCUGACGCUAAGACGCGAAAGCGUGGGGAGCAAACAGG